UGGGUGAUAGGAAAACGGGCAUGAAUGGAGGUGCCCAGUCAGUGACCAAGUCAGGGCUCGGUUUGGGGGCGGAGUCAGGAUUUCACCAUGGCUGAGGGCAGUGGUCCAGCAGGAGGCAGGCAGGAAAGAAGGCAUCAGGGCAGGAACCAGAUAACUCAGUAACUCCAGUGUAAGGAGGGGAUGGAUCUGGAUGGCUUCCUUCCCCCAGCUGGAAGGUCUUCAGGCACAGCUGCUGCUUGAGCUCCUCCAACCACACAGAGAGGCCCCCUUGCCUUGGAGGAGGGCCUGGGACUUCCCCGAAACUUUUACUCAAUCUCUUUGAGGCUCCUGAAGUGCUGGAACUGCACGAGCUUGAACCACACAGACCUGGGUUCAACCCCCGGCCCCCGACUUGCUGUGUGAUCCUGGGCAAAUUACUCUCCCUCUCUGGCACCUGGUUUUCUCACUGGCCAAAAUGGGCAUCAAUUCAUCCUUAGCUCACAGGGUUGUGGUCAGGAAUUCACGAGAAAGCAGCCAGGACUGCCAUGUGACUGACACCCAUCACUCACUUGAGAUGGAAAUUGUCUAUCUCAAACUUCACCCUCAGCUCUCAAGGGCUCAUUUUUAAAACUUAGGCAAAUUUAUUUUGAAUGGAAUAUUGAAAGCACUGGUCUCAAACGGAAAACCACCAUCGCUUGCCAGAAGGAGGAAUCAGCUGUAAACUUGAAUACAAGGGAAAUAAAACAAGAUUCUUAAUUUGAGCUACAUCCUGUUUGUAGCUGGAGCCUCUCAACUGAGCCCUGUCCUCUCUUCCUUCACAAGUGACAUGUUCAAGACAUGAAAGCUGUUAAGACUUUCUUUGAGUAACUGGAGGUACAGGAAGAAAAAUCAAAAGGAAAUACGUGUAUAACAAUAUAAUUCAACGAUACUUCAUAGAGUCCUGAGACCCUAAGACCAUCCAGCAUCCUACCAUUAUAUGAUUUUGGAAAACACCAACCUAAUCUAACCCUCUCUUCCUAUUUUUCAGAUCAGAAAAUGAAUGCCCCAAGAGGGGAGGUGAUGAGCCCAUGAUCUCACAGGGUCUGUCCAAGGCACCUUUUCACUUUUGUGGGGAGAAGUUAUAAAGAAGGCCCUCCCUGGGGGCCUAGGGGUUAAGACUCAGCG